AUUGAACGCUGGCGGCAGGCUUAACACAUGCAAGUCGAGCGAGCGGCGGACGGGUGAGUAAUGUCUUGGACACUGCCUGAGGGAUGGGGUUCACUACUGGAAGCUGUAGCUAAUACCGCAUACCAUCAGAUGUGCCCAGAUGGGAUUAGCUAGUAGGUGGGGUAAUGGCUCACCUAGGCGACGAUCCCUAGCUGGUCUGAGAGGAUGAACAGCCACACUGGAACUGAGACACGGCCCAGACUCCUACGGGAGGCAGCAGUGGGGAAUAUUGCGCAAUGGGGGAAACCCUGACGCAGCCAUGCCGCGUGAAUGAAGAAGGCCUUCGGGUUGUAAAGUUCUUUCGGUAGCGAGGCGUUAACUACAGAAGAAGCACCGGCUAACUCCGUGCCAGCAGCCGCGGUAAUUC
rnacentral:rRNA from 1 species